UAGGGAAUCUUCGGCAAUGGACGAAAGUCUGACCGAGCAACGCCGCGUGAGUGAAGAAGGUUUUCGGAUCGUAAAACUCUGUUGUUAGAGAAGAACAAGGACGUUAGUAACUGAACGUCCCCUGACGGUAUCUAACCAGAAAGCCACGGCUAACUACGUGCCAGCAGCCGCGGUAAUACGUAGGUGGCAAGCGUUGUCCGGAUUUAUUGGGCGUAAAGCGAGCGCAGGCGGUUUCUUAAGUCUGAUGUGAAAGCCCCCGGCUCAACCGGGGAGGGUCAUUGGAAACUGGGGGACUUGAGUGCAGAAGAGGGGAGUGGAAUUCCAUGUGUAGCGGUGAAAUGCGUAGAUAUAUGGAGGAACACCAGUGGCGAAGGCGGCUCGCUGGUCUGUAACUGACGCUGAGGCUCGAAAGCGGGGGGAGCAAACAGG
rnacentral:rRNA from 1 species